rnacentral:lncRNA from 1 species
GGGGACCUUUAAGUUUGCAUGUAUAAUUAACUUUUCUAGCUUCAUCAGUUGAUCAAAGUUGCUAAUCAUGUUAUGAAAUCAUGCUUUUGUUGGCUAGGGAAUUGAGGUUUUUUCAUGGUAGGGAAAUAAGCUCCUCUUUCUUUAUUUCUUUUCGAAAAAGCAAAGAAAACAUACAUGUAUAUAUAGAAAAAUAAACUGUUUAUAUAUCCG